GACGGGGGAAAACUACCGUUCAUUCGCUAAGAAUUUGCUCAAAAUCCGUUCAAGGUUAUCUCCGCGAGUAAGGUCGGAGUAAGAAAUUCAAGUUAAAGGAACUAAACGAACAAGGUUGAGCAGCGAAGUGGUGGAGGAAGUGCUAUUGAGACAAGACAUUUAAUUCAGUCAGAUUUUG